CUUUGCUGCUUUAAAGCGAGCCGCGGAGGAGGGAGGGAGGGACAGGCUCUCCUUCCCUCUCUCCUCCCCGGCUCAGCUCGCUUUAAAGCAGCAAA